rnacentral:rRNA from 1 species
GAUGAACGCUGGCGGCGUGCCUAAUACAUGCAAGUCGAGCGAACGGACGAGAAGCUUGCUUCUCUGAUGUUAGCGGCGGACGGGUGAGUAACACGUGGAUAACCUACCUAUAAGACUGGGAUAGCUUCGGGAAACCGGAGCUAAUACCGGAUGAUAUUUUGAACCGCAUGGUUCAAAGGUGAAAGACGGUCUUGCUGUCACUUAUAGAUGGAUCCGCGCUGCAUUAGCUAGUUGGUAAGGUAACGGCUUACCAAGGCAACGAUGCAUAGCCGACCUGAGAGGGUGAUCGGCCACACUGGAACUGAGACACGGUCCAGACUCCUACGGGAGGCAGCAGUAGGGAAUCUUCCGCAAUGGGCGAAAGCCUGACGGAGCAACGCCGCGUGAGUGAUGAAGGUCUUCGGAUCGUAAAACUCUGUUAUUAGGGAAGAACAUAUGUGUAAGUAACUGUGCACAUCUUGACGGUACCUAAUCAGAAAGCCACGGCUAACUACGUG